GUCAAGGUCGCGAUGACCUUUAUGCAAUCGACGUCACUAGCGUCCAAAGUUUGUUUUGGAAUUUUUUACAAGUGUAUUUGAUAUUACAUUGUAGUGUAGGAAAUUUGUACAAUACAAACAUUAGAUGUUCUAGCUAUAUCCGAUGUAUGACCGUAUUUUGUUAUCAUUUAAUAUUAUGAUGCGUGGAAUUGUUUUAUCAUAGCAUAUCUGGUUCAUGUCUGGGCUGUAAAAACACAUAUAGCAUAGAAUUACUUUACUUUAGGUGUUAACUGUAGUAAAAUAAAAUUAUCUUUUGAAAAGGUUUUAAUGCAACUACAUGUGUUUUAAAGAUUUAAGUUCUUGUAGUGCCAUUACGAUUUUAUUGCCUACCUGUAUGUUACAUGUACGUUUUGCUUGAGCAAUAAAAGUGGUUUUAUUGUGUUU
rnacentral:misc_RNA from 1 species